rnacentral:rRNA from 1 species
GGGUUGUGAGGUUAAGCGACUAAGCGUACACGGUGGAUGCCCUGGCAGUCAGAGGCGAUGAAGGACGUGCUAAUCUGCGAUAAGCGUCGGUAAGGUGAUAUGAACCGUUAUAACCGGCGAUUUCCGAAUGGGGAAACCCAGUGUGAUUCGUCACACUAUCGUUAACUGAAUACAUAGGUUAACGAAGCGAACCGGGGGAACUGAAACAUCUAAGUACCCCGAGGAAAAGAAAUCAACCG